rnacentral:lncRNA from 1 species
GGUCAACAACUUCGGGCCAAAUAAUUGUCACGAAUAUCUUUGUGAACUUCCCGAAGAACACACCCUGCUUCGGAUGGAACUAAAUGUUUAAGUAAUGAUGACGAAAAAGGUCCUUCGAUAAAUAUUCUCAUCAAUGAGAACAAAAUGGACACUCUUGUACUUGGUCUUCUUUGCCAGCAUCUGAUCCGAAGAAAUGACGCCAUCUGUCGUCAAAGUUAUAAGCAUCUAUAGUGGCCAGCUUCGAUAAUGCACCGGCGGUGGAAUUGUUAUUGUGAUCGACUCCUUGAUAGCCUGCUAUACUGAUGUCCGAAAUAGAAUAUCCAUCUGCAUGCAAUACCCACGAACUCUGCUUCUGC